rnacentral:rRNA from 1 species
GGCUGGAUCGGUGACAGGUGCUGCAUGGCUGUCGUCAGCUCGUGUCGUGAGAUGUUGGGUUAAGUCCCGCAACGAGCGCAACCCUCGUCCUUAGUUGCCAGCAUUAAGUUGGGCACUCUAAGGAGACUGCCGGUGUUAAACCGGAGGAAGGCGGGGAUGACGUCAAGUCCUCAUGGCCCUUAUGUCCAGGGCUACACACGUGCUACAAUGGCCGGUACAAAGGGUAGCAAGACCGCGAGGUGGAGCCAACCCCAAAAAGCCGGUCUCAGUUCGGAUUGGAGUCUGCAACUCGACUCCAUGAAGUUGGAAUCGCUAGUAAUCGUGGAUCAGCAUGCCACGGUGAAUACGUUCCCGGGCCUU